CAGGGCAACAUUUCUCCAUUAGUUUGGCUGCAUAAAGUUUUGAAGCCCUCUACGCCUCCUGCAGGUGUGUCUGCAGAGAGGACUUUCUCAGCUCCUUUGCUGAUUGGUGUGCAGAAGCCCCACUUCCAUCGCAGGGGUCCUCCGAGUGACAAGGACAAACGUACAGGAGAGAAGGAAUCACUGGAGUCAAACAACAUCCAGAAACAAAUUGUGGAGGAACUGCAGAAAGGGCCUGACAUGGACAUACAGGUUCUGUGGAAGGCAGCAUUUCCUGCAGGCAGCGGUCACUCGUCGGCAGCCUCUGCUGCAGGAAGGAAUGGGAUGGCACACAUGAGUACGGGCCCAGACACAGGAGGUAAUUGCUGUGCUGGGCUCAGCCCUCG